rnacentral:rRNA from 1 species
AUGCAAGUCGAGCGGAUGAAGGGAGCUUGCUCCCUGAUUCAGCGGCGGACGGGUGAGUAAUGCCUAGGAAUCUGCCUGGUAGUGGGGGACAACGUCUCGAAAGGGACGCUAAUACCGCAUACGUCCUACGGGAGAAAGCAGGGGACCUUCGGGCCUUGCGCUAUCAGAUGAGCCUAGGUCGGAUUAGCUAGUUGGUGAGGUAAUGGCUCACCAAGGCGACGAUCCGUAACUGGUCUGAGAGGAUGAUCAGUCACACUGGAACUGAGACACGGUCCAGACUCCUACGGGAGGCAGCAGUGGGGAAUAUUGGACAAUGGGCGAAAGCCUGAUCCAGCCAUGCCGCGUGUGUGAAGAAGGUCUUCGGAUUGUAAAGCACUUUAAGUUGGGAGGAAGGGCAUUAACCUAAUACGUUGGUGUUUUGACGUUACCGACAGAAUAAGCACCGGCUAACUCUGUGCCAGCAGCCGCGGUAAUACAGAGGGUGCAAGCGUUAAUCGGAAUUACUGGGCGUAAAGCGCGCGUAGGUGGUUUGUUAAGUUGGAUGUGAAAUCCCCGGGCUCAACCUG